AUUGUACUCCCUACGUUUCAAAAUUGUUGUAUUAGAUUUGCUUAGAUAUGAAUAUAUUUAGUCAUGUAUUAGUAUUUUGAUACAUUCAUUUUUAAACAAACUUAAGACAAAAAAUUUGAAACGGAGGGAGUAUACA
rfam:Hordeum vulgare subsp. vulgare, WGS project CAJW01000000 data, contig: morex_contig_77469